rnacentral:rRNA from 1 species
UACGAAGGGGGCUAGCGUUGCUCGGAAUCACUGGGCGUAAAGCGCACGUAGGCGGAUUGCUAAGUCAGGGGUGAAAUCCUGGAGCUCAACUCCAGAACUGCCUUUGAUACUGGUGAUCUUGAGUCCGGGAGAGGUGAGUGGAACUGCGAGUGUAGAGGUGAAAUUCGUAGAUAUUCGGAAGAACACCAGUGGCGAAGGCG